UGGGGAAUAUUGCACAAUGGGCGCAAGCCUGAUGCAGCCAUGCCGCGUGUGUGAAGAAGGCCUUCGGGUUGUAAAGCACUUUCAGCGGGGAGGAAGGCGAUAAGGUUAAUAACCUCAUCGAUUGACGUUACCCGCAGAAGAAGCACCGGCUAACUCCGUGCCAGCAGCCGCGGUAAUACGGAGGGUGCAAGCGUUAAUCGGAAUUACUGGGCGUAAAGCGCACGCAGGCGGUCUGUCAAGUCGGAUGUGAAAUCCCCGGGCUCAACCUGGGAACUGCAUUCGAAACUGGCAUGCUAGAGUCUUGUAGAGGGGGGUAGAAUUCCAGGUGUAGCGGUGAAAUGCGUAGAGAUCUGGAGGAAUACCGGUGGCGAAGGCGGCCCCCUGGACAAAGACUGACGCUCAGGUGCGAAAGCGUGGGGAGCAAACAGG
rnacentral:rRNA from 1 species